rnacentral:lncRNA from 1 species
CCUGCCUGGGCCUCCCAAAGUGCUGGGAUUACAAGCAUGAGUCACUGUGCCCAGCCAGGAAGGAGGAUUUUAAAUAGGCAUGUGACACAGCCCAGUUUGUAGUUUAGAAGGAUCCUCGUGGCUUUGGUGUGACAAGCAGAUGAGAGCUGGGCAAGACUAGAGAUUGAGAGCCAGGAAAGAGAAAGGACACUUCAAGCAAUUUCUUAACAGGCAAAGCCUCCCAAGGCAAUAUUACUCGCUAACAGCCCAGCAUCUGGUGAUGAUGUGAAAAUGCCUGUAUUAGAAAACUGGAAAAUGGGACCACUGGAGUUUCCAAGAAGUGGUUGCAUAAGCUCAAGGAUUUCUUCGGAGCUGUUCUGACUAAAGAUGAAAUUGGGAAGAGGCACACGAGGAAGAAAAUCACUCACUGCUUGAGGCUGCCAGAAAGAAGACUCUCAUUGUCUGAAGGAAAAAAAAACAACAUGCCAGGCUUACUGACAGAAGCUUUUACAGGAAACAAAACCCACGACAACUUCUCUCGUCAAGGGCUCUUCAGACUGUUUCUAAACACUCACAGGAAGGCCAGGCUGACAUUUUACACAUGAUUGACUGAGAGCGCUAUGCUUGCUUCUGGAUAUGUGCGUGCUUGUAUACGUGUGCAACUGUGUGUGUGCACGCAUAUGCCUGCAUGCAAGCCUACGGGUGCUUACCUGGUCCUGUAGCUCAGCCUAAACAAAGAUUCAGACUUGCUUAUGCAUAAAUAAUGAGUUGGCGGGGCCAGAAGCUGCCUAGGGUCUAUUUAUAUAGAUUGAUUUGCAUGUGCCAAGGGGAAUUGGGAAGAUACAGUGGAGAAGACAGCCUGGUGAUUGGUUCAGGGGCCAGGAUAGCAGCUGAACCCAUGCAAUCCUCCCUGAGACUUUAGUGAGUCUGCAAGGAAUGAGCCCUCUCUGUUUGCAAGACCUCCAAGGCCAGCAGGAUAAAAGCUUGGCAACCGUGAAGUGAGAGUCAUCCUUAGAAUGAAGCCAGCACAGAGGAGAGCAGAAGAAGGAUGGAGAGAGAGACUAGUCCUAAUGUCCUUGUGUGGUGGCUUGGCUAGCACCUGCUGUGCCUAUCUUCCCACUGGGAGCCUUAGUCUCAUGCCCAGUUGAUCCCUCCCCUGGUGUCAACUAAGCUUGAGUUGGAUUAUCUGCUACUUGCUGAUGCUCCACUCACAGUCUCCCUGCAUUAUCCCAGCACCUGAGACAUUUCUGAUUAGAUUGGCAUCCAUGGGGGUGUGAAAGUCACAUUCUCAGAGAAAGAAAGUGAUGAACCACCUGUACUGCAGAACCCACCAGUAACAACCCCACCCUACACCCUAGUCCAGGUUCCUCAGCUGUCUGUCAAAUCCAGGAGCCAGGACACCAGGUGGAGUCCUGCAACCUUUUGCAAUCUCUGUGUCAGAGGUAUUAGAACAAGAAUGACUCCAUCUUGAAAACAGGCUGGGUAGAAUGAGGCUUAGACUUACUGGGCUGCAUUCCCAAGAGGUUAAGGCAUUCCUAGUCACAGAAUGAGAUAGACGGUUGGCACAAGAUACAGAUCAUAAAGACCUUACUGAUAAAACAGGUUGCAGUUAAGAAGCCGGCCAAAACCCAUCAAAACCAAGAUGGUGACAAGAGUGACCUCUGGUCAUCCUCACAGCUCAUUAUAAGCUAGUUACAAUAUAUUAGCAUGCUAAAAGACACUCCCACCAGUGCUGUGACAGUUUACAGAUGCCAUGGCAACAUCAGGAAAUUACCCUAUAUGGUCUAAAAAGGCUAAGAACCCUCAGUUCUGGGAGUUGUCCACUCCUUACUGUGAAAACUCAUGAAGAAUCAACCUCUUGUUUAGCAUAUAAUCAAGAAAUAACCAUAAAAAUGGGCAACCAGAAGCUCUUGAGAAUGCUCUGCCUAGGGAGUAGCCAUUCUUUUAUUCCUUUACUGUCUUAAUAAACUUGCUUUCACUGUAUG